rnacentral:tRNA from 1 species
GCAUCCAUAGUUCAGUUGAAUAGAGCGUUGGACUUCGAAUCCAGAAGUCGUGGGUUUGAGUCCCACUGGGUGCACCA